UCUAUCUUGUUGUAUUUGUGGGCAUAACAGCUUUUCGUGCUGUAGGAGGUAUUUACCAGGUAGGG
rnacentral:tRNA from 4 species